rnacentral:rRNA from 1 species
UGGGGGAUAUUGCACAAUGGGCGAAAGCCUGAUGCAGCGACGCCGCGUGGGGGAUGAAGGCUUUCGGGUUGUAAACCUCUUUCGCUAUCGAACAAGGCCCGCUUAGGGUGGGUUGAGGGUAGGUGGAGAAGAAGCGCCGGCUAACUACGUGCCAGCAGCCGCGGUAAUACGUAGGGCGCGAGCGUUGUCCGGAAUUAUUGGGCGUAAAGGGCUUGUAGGCGGCUUGUUGCGCCUGCUGUGAAAACGCGGGGCUUAACUUCGCGCGUGCAGUGGGUACGGGCAGGCUUGAGUGUGGUAGGGGUGACUGGAAUUCCAGGUGUAGCGGUGGGAUGCGCAGAUAUCUGGAGGAACACCGAUGGCGAAGGCAGGUCACUGGGCCAUUACUGACGCUGAGGAGCGAAAGCAUGGGUAGCGAGCAGG